rnacentral:rRNA from 1 species
AUUGAACGCUGGCGGCAUGCUUUACACAUGCAAGUCGAACGGCAGCGCGGGGCAACCUGGCGGCGAGUGGCGAACGGGUGAGUAAUAUAUCGGAACGUACCCAGAAGUGGGGGAUAACGUAGCGAAAGUUACGCUAAUACCGCAUACGAUCUACGGAUGAAAGUAGGGGACCGCAAGGCCUUAUGCUUUUGGAGCGGCCGAUAUCUGAUUAGCUAGUUGGUGAGGUAAAGGCUCACCAAGGCGACGAUCAGUAGCUGGUCUGAGAGGACGACCAGCCACACUGGAACUGAGACACGGUCCAGACUCCUACGGGAGGCAGCAGUGGGGAAUUUUGGACAAUGGGCGCAAGCCUGAUCCAGCAAUGCCGCGUGAGUGAGGAAGGCCUUCGGGUUGUAAAGCUCUUUUGUCAGGGAAGAAACGGUAGAGGCUAAUAUCCUUUGCUAAUGACGGUACCGGAAGAAUAAGCACCGGCUAACUACGUG